AUUGCUUGGUUUUCCUCUUCCUGAUGCAACCUUCAGGUGUACCUUCAACUGGCAGUGCCCUGCAUGUGGAUGAGUCUGUUUUUGGAGCUGAUUGGCUGUAAGUAUUCCGAGUCUGAGCCUUUGUACCACGUCAUGUCAUCAUCCGGCUUUCUGUAAGCCAAGAGUUGAUUUGUGCAUACCUGGCUGUAGGUUCCUGAAUGCAGAGAAAGAAAGGAGUGCAAUUUUUAAUCCCAAGAUCUGUUUUCACAAACCAAUAGAGAAAUAACAUAGACUUGGUUGUAUGUCCAAUCCCACGUUUGGUCUGUAAUGCCUUCGCAUGAACCUGUCUCUCACAGCCUCUUUGUAGAAGUUGUUUUUUUCUUUAAGUCCCCUUCUAAAGUAGGUGAGUUGCAAGGGAAGUUGCUUCUCUCUGUAGCUGCAUUCAGCAGGGAGGUACAUCUGGGGGUGGUGAGGCACUGGAAUAAGUUGCCUAGAGAGCUAGCUCUAGAUGCCUCAUUUCUGGAGGCAUUGAAGUCCAGUGUGUGGGAGUAGCUAAGUCAUGGCCUGAACCAGUGACUGAAAACCUGGUGAAGUGGACACAGCUGGCCCUGGGAGCACAGGUGAAAGCAAUUCACCAGGUUCCACCCCUCUGUAGGCCUCAUUUUAGGGCUAGCUGCCACCAGGGAAGGUUUUCUCCCUGGAGAUUCCUCCUUCUGGAGUAUUUGAUGUGCCCUGAUCCUCAGGCUAGGACAUCUGUACCCAGAGAUCACCCAGUUCCUAUUGAAAAAGGGGGUGAGGAAGACAACAGGUUGUGUCUGAUGAAUGUUUCAAGAAAUUCCAGAAGUUAAAUUCUUACCACUUUCAACAAGUGGUGGAGCAGAUCCUUGGGGAAUUAGCAAAAAGAAGGAAGAACCUUAAUGACAAACCUUCUCAGCACUCUAGUUCUACAAACUGCUUCUGAAGAUUUAUCCCUUUUAGCUUAAAUAGUUCUUUCACAUCCAUCAAAAGCUUUUCAUGAGAUAGACUUAAUCUCUGAAUGCCGUAUCUUGUUUCACUAUUGUUGUUUUUUUGUUUUGCGGUGUCAUGUUGAUAUGUUUUCAGAAAUGGGAAUAUGUUAAUAA